AUGAACGCUGGCGGCGUGCCUAAUACAUGCAAGUCGAGCGAACGGACGAGAAGCUUGCUUCUCUGAUGUUAGCGGCGGACGGGUGAGUAACACGUGGAUAACCUACCUAUAAGACUGGGAUAACUUCGGGAAACCGGAGCUAAUACCGGAUAAUAUUUUGAACCGCAUGGUUCAAAAGUGAAAGACGGUCUUGCUGUCACUUAUAGAUGGAUCCGCGCUGCAUUAGCUAGUUGGUAAGGUAACGGCUUACCAAGGCAACGAUGCAUAGCCGACCUGAGAGGGUGAUCGGCCACACUGGAGCUGAGACACGGUCCAGACUCCUACGGGAGGCAGCAGUAGGGAAUCUUCAGCAAUGGGCGAAAGCCUGACGGAGCAACGCCGCGUGAGUGAUGAAGGUCUUCGGAUCGUAAAACUCUGUUAUUAGGGAAGAACAUAUGUGUAAGUAACUGUGCACAUCUUGACGGUACCUAAUCAGAAAGCCACGGCUAACUACGUG
rnacentral:rRNA from 1 species